UCGAGAAUCAUUCACAAUGGACGAAAGUCUGAUGGUGCAACGCCGCGUGUGGGAUGAAGGCCUUAGGGUCGUAAACCACUGUCAUGUGAGAGUAAGGCAUAAUCGUUAAUAGCUUUUAUGUUUGAUAGUAUCACAAGAGGAAGGGACGGCUAACUUCGUGCCAGCAGCCGCGGUAAUACGAAGGUCCCGAGCGUUAUUCGGAAUCACUGGGCGUAAAGGGAGCGUAGGCUGCGCGGUAAGUCAGAUGUGAAAUCUCAAGGCUCAACCUUGAAACUGCAUCCGAUACUGCCGCGCUAGAGUAAUGGAGGGGUAACUGGAAUUCUCGGUGUAGCAGUGAAAUGCGUAGAUAUCGAGAGGAAGACCAACGGCGAAGGCAGGUUACUGGACAUUUACUGACGCUGAGGCUCGAAGGCUAGGGUAGCGAAAG
rnacentral:rRNA from 1 species